GCAUUAGGUUGGUAGGCAUGCACAGUCAGUUUGCAUAAACGAUUGUGAAUCUCUAAUAAGAUGUGGACUGUGGCGAAGGAAGGUGGGAUGGAAUAAGGGAGAUGGAUAAAACAUUCAAUUAAUAAUUUCAAAUUGUGGUGGUGGCGCAGCUAUUUUUAAAAUCUGUGUCAGUUUGCAAAAGUAAGAAGAAGUGCGCUGGUGGUGGAAAUGCUUGUACACCGUCAUCAUUGUUACCAAGUCCUGCUUUUCGGUCAUUUACCUGUGUCCACCUUUCUCCUUCGACCAUUUAUCUAUCUAUAUUAAGCUAAUACCAUAUAGGAAUUUGACGCUUUAAAAAUAAUGUGAAUGUUAUACAAAAAUUGUAGCUUUUUCUUUUGCUAUGAAUAACCAAGUUGUGUUUCCCCCGACAUCUUGGUGAUGCUUACGUGCGACGGACAUUAAAUUACAAUAAAUUUUCCAUUGUGAGCUAUUGAAACAACUGAGACUAUAGUAUAGCAUCUUAUUAUGUGUUCUCAAGUUAUCUGGAAUGAGAUUUACUCCUCAAAACCCAGCUGCAACUUGUCUCACUCACUCUGAUCAGAAGAGUCAUUACAAGCCUUAUGUCAGCCAGCAUGAAUCUAGUUGACGGGAAAAUUCUUGUGUCAAAGUGAUUAUACAACUGAUGGUUGACCUUUGUAAUUUCAGUUGUGCAACACACACCCUUCAGAAUUGGAAAGAACUUGAAGCGUACCUGGAGUUUCUAUACAAGCAAGAGCUAUCGGAUCGAAAUGACCUCCAGAUGGACAUUGAUCAUGGUCUAUGUACCAAAAGGAAUUACCAGCUCCAUCAUCAACCCAAAAACACUGAUAAUAGGUCUGCAAACGGGAGAUCGUCCACGCAACUGUCAUUCGUAAGAGCUAAAACGCCAAUGCCUGGCUUAAAUUUCAACAACAUCGAAGAUGGAUCAUAGUUCAUACUUUUUGGCAAAGUGUCAUCAACAAAAACUGUGGCUAGCACAAAUGC